AAAAAACGGGAUGUCUAGGCGUCUAUUGCUCAGUGGGAAUGGAUAGGCAAGGGUUUUCAUAACUGAGGUUAAACCUCUGUUCUUGAGUCCUGACCCACUUACAGCUGUGAGGCUGAAAUUCCUGUUUUUUUGUUUGUUUAGUUUAUAUGCAGAAAUGCUGGAGAAAAAAAGAUACAGGUGUUCAAGAAAAACGGGUUUGUUCCACAUUUGGAGUCUGAAAACUUUGAAGGGGUUUCUUCCUUUUCAUACACUAUAAUCUCUAUCAUGUUGGAAUAUCACAGACAGUCAACAAGAUAAAAAGUGCAGAUAAUAGCUGUCGAGAUCCAGCAUGAGUCUGCUGAGACAGACAGACUAUAACAGGUACGAGGUCAGGCCUGUCGCACAGGUAUCAAACAGGAUUCAUGUCAGUGUCCUUAGGCAGGGGUUUUCAUCAGUAGGUCAUCCCAUUAUUUCUUCAACAUAGCUUCAUACCAUUACCCCUCUCACCUUCUCUGCCUCGCCUCACUUUACGAUAUAAUGGUAUCAAAUACUCCGGCUCAUGUAGCUGACCUGUUUGAGAUGUUCUUACCCUGCCGAGGAGCCUCCUGGUGUGAAACUACUGACUGAUGACGUUUCAGUCUCAGUGACACCGGGCUCAGAUCAGAUACCUGAAACCACAGCAGGGAUGCAGAACACUUUUAUUUUUGUAAGAUAAACAUUUGUGAGCUACAUAAAUACUGUAUACAGGGUUCCUACACACAUGCUUUUCAAAACCUUACUUUUUAGAAUUAUUUUUUAAAAUACUACUUUUCCAUGAUAGAAAACAGUAUUUUUAAACUGUAGUAAAAAAUAUUUUUCCAUACUUUAUUUUUCAUUUUUCAUGCUAUUCAAGACCUGGAAAUUGAUCAAACUACUUCCAUACUUUUUCAUACCGUACAUGCUUUUGUAGGAACCUUGUGUAUAUGUAUUUGCAGAGCUAAACAGCUAUUUUUGAUGCAGUUCGUACUUUCUUUGCAGAGGGUAGACUAUCUCUCACAGCUCCUCAUAUCUGAAAUAUCAUCAUUUUAAGUGGAUAUAAAACAAUCUUGGUAAUUGAUAUGGUUAAAAAGAAAAAAAACAAGCCUUUUGUAUAGUAACUGUAAAUGCAUGUAUACUGUUUCAGACAGUUCAGAGGUUGUUAUGGGCCAAAAUAACAAACCCAAACACAAAAAGAUGAGUUCUACCAGAAUCAAACUGAACACGUUAAUCUUUAAAAACAUAUCAAUCUUUAACCACAGAGAAGAUCUUGUUUCAGAGCAGUCAGACCAGGAUUCAGGUUAGGUCCAAACAGAAAAUCUUGGUGGUACAAACUGUGUUAUGCCUGUUGUACCAUACUUUUUAAUGAAAACAACAUGGUUCAGCAGGCUUUGAUUUGCUCUCUGUUUUCCACAGAGGUCACUACCCUGAGCUGAAGUCCAUGUAACCUUAGAAAUCUCCUGUGAUCGUCAAGAUUUUUUUCAGAACACCCACAAAGCCAAAGCCAAGAUGCCAAAGCUGAUUUACCCUGCCCCCAUCCCCUCCAAAGAGUGGGAUUUUGGGAUAAAGCUGAAAUUUCAGCGAGUUCUGCCAUCAAAGACUUGUGAGAUUUUUCAAAAGCGUGUUUAUUAUUUAAAAAGAGAGUUUUAGUAUGUGGCAGCAGACAUUUAACAACCUGGAAACACUGAACUUUAACAGGCUACAAACACUGCAGCUCCUGUGAUGACUAUCAGCAGUUUAUCAGUCACACAGGAAUGUUAAAGUAUUCCUUCAGCCGCUCAGUCCCCCCACCCACAUGAUAUGUCUGAGCUGUGCCCUGAUACCCCUCCAAGGGCCCCAUCCCCCUCCAUUGUAACCCCAACCAGUCUACUGUGAUACUCAGACCCGCAGUCUGCUGAUACUGCCUGACUGGAGGCGAGCCAGACCUUUGGGAAAACCAUUGUGUUUUCAGCGGCAGGAGGGCAUUGGACCUCAAACAAGUUGUUCUGCCAAGGGGAUUAUGAGUUGAACAUUUCAGAGCUGAGGUUGUGUGUUUGACAGAGCAUAGACCUCGAGUCUGGUUGCUGGUUAAAUAUCAGGGGAAAAAAGGUUUCUUCGAGAACUAAAAAAUAUUCGAUAUCUAGAAUCAGCAGCUAAUUCUUAACAGAUCCAUUAAAAUGUAAAUCUUUUGCAUUUGCACGACAGGUACGUCCAUCAGCAUGGUCAUUACGUCGACACCCAACAUUCACCAUUAGUCCCCCCCAGAUUCCCUCCUCCUCCUCACUGAAUCAUGUUUUUCCUCCCAGUGAGAAACUCACUUGAUUUCAGUCAGUAUUGAUACUGCAUUAAUGUAAGCUGCUCGUACCUUCACGAUUGGUUCAUUCACCCAGUCAGAGAGAUAAUACCGAGGGUCGGCUCACUGCCCAACCCCCACAGGUCACCUCUGCCAUAUGCUCAAACCUGUAGCUUAAAGAUCCCCAAGUUUACUUUAUACCAAGAGCCGUGAAACACCAGUCAAACUUCAUCUCGUAUUUUCUGUCUAACAUCAUUUCUUCCAACUCGAUCUGACUCUGCAUUUUCCUCUCAAUCCAUCAGUCUGCCCAAACCCAUGUUGAGGUGUCUGAUUAUGGUUGUAAGGUCGAUAUCUCUUUAACUUUUACUCUCUGGAUUAAUAACUGUUGUGAAAGGAUUGGGCCUGUAAGAAUCAAGCAUUUCACUCAGAUUUAUCCAGAAUACGAAGCCAGGUUUGACUGAUGGAUGUAUAUUUUACCAACGCUUGUGUGGACCUGUUUUUCUCUGUUUGGUCUGAGAAAUCCAUCUCCCUGUAGGCUUUACAUCGCCGGUCUAACCCUCUUGUGCCCACUUACUGCUCAGUCAAUCCAAUUAUCCUGAUUGGAGGCUCCCUCCCUCCUGCUGCUUCUCAGCUGUUGACAUAAUAAGUAAAUAGCAGGAUUACUGAGUCAGCAGAACGUUGAGGAAACCCCCACAUUAAAAGGCUUAAACCAGCUCGAGACGUCUGAUUGAUCCAGGGAGCUUGUUGGACUGUUCUCUUCCCUCUUGUUUUUCUUUCAUCCUGUCGUUUUCUCCUUCGUCUGGCACCUCUCAGUCUCUUUCCUCUGCACUGCUGCCGUUAAGGCAGGUUUUCUCACCUCUGACCUUUUUAUCUCUUGCGCAGCUCAAAAAAUAGACACCACUCUGAUUUUUUCAUGCAGUGGAAGUAGCUGCAUUAGCUGCCGUUGUAAAUUAGCAUCUGGUUAAAUUAGCAACUGGUUCAAGGAAACUCCAGUUUGGCUCAUUCAGCAGGGUUAAUCUGUUUCCCAUUAACUGCGGCCGAGGCUGGUUUCUUUCUCAAAUAACAGCAGUAAUGAUGUCAGCAGGCCACGCAACUCUGAAUCAGAACCAAAAAUCUGCUUUCUGUUAAAUCCUACUACCUCACGUUUCAUUUUACCGAACUUCAAACUCCUUGUGCUGACCACCGCUCGAUGAAUCAUACAAUUAGAUAAAGAAAGACAGAUGUUGAGGCUGACACAUCCAUUUUUAAACCUUCUUGUCUUUAUAGUCAUGAUAGUUGACUUCCAUCUUCUCCGUUUCCUCCCUUUAGAGCAGCGCAGUAUUUUUAGGAGGCGAUGUGGUUCCUGAUGGGUAUCUUUAUGUCUCUCAGUCCACCCAGAGCUGCCCGGUAAAAGGGAGGCUCCAUCUUCACGCACAAUUUCAGAUGAGACAUGCCUCCAAAAAUAGAAGUGAGCGCGUGUAAAGCAUUGUGUAACCACGAGCUGUGAUGUUUAACCAUUAGAAGGAAAUUCACCAUCUUCCACUGACGUAACCUCGCCAGGGUGAGAGCUGCUGCGUUUAGCUGUGUGUUGAGCUGGCUGCAUUAAAAGAAUUGAAUGCAUAAAUGAAUGAAGUCUGACAAUAGAUCUCAAUUCUCUGGUCUUAAUUUUUCCCACACUGGAUGCAAGAUUCUUUUAGAAACAAACAUCCACCCACUCAUUAAUCGCUAAAAUUAGUAACACCAUCUCUAUCACUGGGUGAUUUUUACCUGAAAUAAUUUAACCAAGAUAAAGUAUUGGCCUUCAAAAUAUAUCAAAAUAGGACAAUACAUGACAAAUUAAAGUAGUUUUCUUUUAAUUUUAACUGCGCAAUGUCCAAAGAGAGGGGAAAAAAGAGGGGACCAUAUAAAAAUGCAACAAAGUAACUGAAAGUAGGUAUUCAUGAACAAAAACUUCCUACAAAAAAACUACAGAAACUUUUUUUGUCACAGCAGCAUCACAGACAAAGAGUGCAAAAAUGCAGUUAUUAAAAUAAAGAUCCUAAUAUUAAGAACUUAAAUAAAUGUAAUAAUUAAGAAAAAAAUUAGAAAAAGGAAAAAAAAAGGGAGAAGAAAAAACAAAACUAUCUACAAUAUACACAAUUCAAAUGCCAGAAAAAAAGUGGUUGUGAGAGUCCAGUUAUUAUUACAGUUCGUUGUAAAGUCUUCUUGCAGAAGGGAAGAAUGAAACUUAGUUUCUUUUCCACCCAUUCCUGGGGCAUGUGAGUCUUUCUUGGUGAAGACUCAGGGUCCUUGGCACAGUAACAGCUGCAGGAGAGUAAAAAUGACCAGCUGACUAAAAUAUUUCUCAUCACUAUAUGAAUUCCCUUGAAAAUCACUACUUUGUGAUAGUCAUUCAUAAACACUGUGCUAAAUAAAGAUAACAUGCAAAUUCCAGGACCACUCUUACUGACCUUAUUCCCUACAUGUAGCUAUCAAAUCCACCCAAACCUACUUUACCCUGUUUUACUAUUGCUGGGUGAAAAUCACCCUGUGAACACAUGCCUGUAGGAAAAAGCAGGUUUUGGACCAAUAUGCCUUCAAAGAUGUCAAAGGCAAUGCUGAAGCUACCCAGGGUCCCAUGAUACUCAGACAAAAGCAACAUAAUGAAAAUCACCCGGCGAUAGUGUUCUAGUGUUAAGUAAGAAUCAAAUCAUCUUCAUGUUGCACUUUUAGAAAGAGACAGACUAUCAAACUAAAUGUGAAGGAAGAGCUUGUCUUCUUUCUUGUGGGGGGUAUAACUGUGGUGAAUUUUCAGAUCAAAUAGUGCAGGCUCUGUGGUUUGCAUGCCCCAGACUUUAUUGGAAGAGUGUCAUGCAGAGUGGGAUCCACAUGGGUUGGGUCUUGCAGUUUUGUAACUUUGUUUUGCUCUCAACACCCUCUGGUCUUGCUAAUAUCUUGGUCCUGGAUCAAACAGUCUUGACCACAGCUCUGGCUCCUUUGCUUGUUGGACCAGAUGGCCUUAGUACCCAACUUUGAAGAAGAAAUCUUUUACUCUUCUUACAUAGUUUUGCUCUCAACCCUGAGAAACCAGCGUGUCUUACACAGAGCAGCGAACAGAGCCCCACCCUGACCUGUUUGGGCCUAUUACCCAGCCCUUGUGACUGGCUUAUCAGCUCAGGGAGUGUACCCAGCUUUCAUGUCCUGACAGAUGAAACACCAGAUAUAAUCAAAUGUACAAACUGAUACAUGACAGAUGCAGUUUCUUUUUAAAAAGAGAGGCAUCGGACCUUAAGGUUUUAGAGGGACAGCCAGAGCCAGUGUCAAAGUCAUUAACUGUGCGUAAAACACGGGGAGUAGGAAGCACUUAACCAGGGUGGCACCGCAUGAAGUAUUUUUCUGUUCUGAGCCUGAGGUGCUUUCCAUGUCUGCUUUACGCCUAAUUACAAGCUGUCACAUAAAUUCCCAGUGACAUUUACAUUUCUUCUGAUCAGACUUGUGUACAUUUGCAGGUAAUGGCGGCGGAGGUUAUUCAGGGAAAUGACCUCAUAGUUUAAGGCGCUUCUUUAGCAUGUGAAAUAUGUCAGAGAUUUCAGCUAUGUGCUGCUUUGGUAUGCUUUGAGCGGCCACCAAACACUUCAAAUGCCAUUUCAAAGCAUCCAGCUUGUUUUUGUUGUUUGCUUACACAAUACAGUUUUAGUGUUGGAAUCAGUUAAAAACAAAAAAAAAAUUACGAUUCUAGUCUGACCUUUCCUCCAAGCUUAUAUAACCAGAUCCAACUGUUCCCAACACUAUCAGAUUGUCACAUUUUAAACACACCUCAUUGACACCGACUGCGCCUUAAGCUGAA